UCACUUUCCCGAUUAAGAUUAUCCCCGCACCGGAUCAACUAAAAAGCUCCCCGAUUGGCGCGGGGCCGAGCGCUACCAACGGGCAACCGGAACCGGGACACAUUUUUUAAAAUACAGUUCAAUAACUAUGGUCGAAAAUCAAUUUUCUGAAAAUUCUUCAUCAUUAAAUGGUUCUAUGAUGUUAGAUUAAAAAUAAUAAAAAUGCUUUAACUUUCGUAAUUUGAAAGCAAACCAAUGUUUUUAGGGCAUAAUAAAAAGGCGAUCUACCACCAUUUUGACUGAAUUUUGCUAGUUAACUCAGCAGUAGUUAAUAUAAUUGCUGAUAGUAUAACAAUUAGUGUAGAUUUAAUUAUCUUAGUGAAGUUGGUGGAAAAUGAUAUGUGUACCAAUAUUUGACCAAACAACAUAGACUUCUGAAUUUAAAGGUUACAAUGAAAAAAUUAAAAAGUAUGUGAACAGUGUGUUUUCUUAAAUGAAUCUGACACUUCUGUAUGAUUGACAAGGAAAAUGUAAAGUAUUGUUUUUUUUUCUCUCUUUCUCACCCAAUCUAAUCCAUCUUGUAUUAGAAUCAGUAAAUAAACAUCUUACUUUCUUGUG